rnacentral:rRNA from 1 species
AGUGAACGCUGGCGGCAGGCCUAACACAUGCAAGUCGAACGGCAGCACAGAGGAGCUUGCUCCUUGGGUGGCGAGUGGCGGACGAGUGAGGAAUACAUCGGAAUCUGCCUAGUCGUGGGGAUGAACGUAGGGAAAGCUUACGCUAAUACCGCAUACGACCUACGGGCGAAGCGGGGAUCGCAAGACCUCGCGCGAUUAGAUGAGCCGAUGUCCGAUUAGCUAUUGGCGGGUAAUGGCCCACCAAGGCGACGAUCGGUAGCUGGUCUGAGAGGAUGAUCAGCCACACUGGAACUGAGACACGGUCCAGACUCCUACGGGAGGCAGCAGUGGGGAAUAUUGGACAAUGGGCGCAAGCCUGAUCCAGCCAUGCCGCGUGGGUGAAGAAGGCC